UAGGGGUGAAUCCAUUCAUUCA
rnacentral:siRNA from 1 species